UACGUAGGGAGCAAGCGUUGUCCGGAAUCAUUGGGCGUAAAGAGCGCGUAGGCGGUCCGGUAAGUCGGUUGUGAAAACUGGGGGCUCAACCCUCAGAGGCCGACCGAUACUGUCGGGCUAGAGUCCGGAAGAGGCGAGUGGAAUUCCUGGUGUAGCGGUGAAAUGCGCAGAUAUCAGGAGGAACACCAAUGGCGAAGGCAGCUCGCUGGGACGGUACUGACGCUGAGGCGCGAAAGCGUGGGGAGCGAACAGG
rnacentral:rRNA from 1 species